CGUAGGCGGCUUGGUAAGUCAGGGGUGAAAGCCCACCGCUCAACGGUGGAAUUGCCUUUGAUACUGCCGGGCUUGAAUUAGGUUGAGGUUGGCGGAAUGUGACAUGUAGCGGUGAAAUGCAUAGAUAUGUCAUAGAACACCAAUUGCGAAGGCAGCUGACUAGACCUUAAUUGACGCUGAGGCACGAAAGCGUGGGGAGCGAACA
rnacentral:rRNA from 1 species